rnacentral:rRNA from 1 species
ACCUGCGGAAGGAUCAUUGUCGAUAUUGCAACAGGAUGACCCGCGCACAGUGACGGAACUCUCCGGGGCGGAAGUACCGCCUCGGCCCGUGGCGCCUUCCUCCCUGCCUGCAGGCAAGGAGGGCUCCGCGAUUCAAAACCGGCACGAAAUUGUCGCCAAGAUACACAGGAAAACUGCAGGCUUCGGGCGCCGGCCGCGCCGUGUCCCGUKGCCUGAACAAUAUGAUGGAAUGACUCUCGGCAACGGAUAUCUCGGCUCUCGCAUCGAUGAAGAACGUAGCGAAAUGCGAUACGUGGUGUGAAUUGCAGAAUCCCGUGAACCAUCGAGUUUUUGAACGCAAGUUGCGCCCGAGGCCAUCUGGUUGAGGGCACGCCUGCCUGGGCGUCAGUUGCCCAUGAACGCUCCUUCCCCAUAUUUUGUUUGGCGGGAUGCGGAGCAUGGCCUUCCUUGUCCUCGGGCUCGGCGGGCUGAAGCAUGUGGCUUGCCAAUUGGGGCCGGCAGUGGCGAGUGGUGGAUUGCUCACGCGAGCCGUACGUCGCCCUUCGUGCCCUGAGCGGAAGCCUCUUGUCACCCCGGACGCAUGGAUGCCUAACGGCUUCCUCGGACCAAGACCCCAGGUCAGGCGGGGCCACCCGCUGAGUUUAAGCAUAU